rnacentral:rRNA from 1 species
UACGUAGGGUGCAAGCGUUGUCCGGAAUUAUUGGGCGUAAAGAGCUCGUAGGCGGUUUGUCGCGUCUGCUGUGAAAACUCGGGGCUUAACCCCGGGCCUGCAGUGGGUACGGGCAGACUAGAGUGCGGUAGGGGAGACUGGAAUUCCUGGUGUAGCAGUGAAAUGCGUAGAUAUCAGGAGGAACACCGAUGGCGAAGGCAGGUCUCUGGGCUGACACUGACGCUCAUGCACGAAAGCGUGGGGAGCAAACAGG